GAUGAACGCUGGCGGCGUGCCUAAUACAUGCAAGUCGAGCGAACAGACGAGGAGCUUGCUCCUCUGACGUUAGCGGCGGACGGGUGAGUAACACGUGGAUAACCUACCUAUAAGACUGGGAUAACUUCGGGAAACCGGAGCUAAUACCGGAUAACAUGUUGAACCGCAUGGUUCAACAGUGAAAGACGGUCUUGCUGUCACUUAUAGAUGGAUCCGCGCCGCAUUAGCUAGUUGGUAAGGUAACGGCUUACCAAGGCAACGAUGCGUAGCCGACCUGAGAGGGUGAUCGGCCACACUGGAACUGAGACACGGUCCAGACUCCUACGGGAGGCAGCAGUAGGGAAUCUUCCGCAAUGGGCGAAAGCCUGACGGAGCAACGCCGCGUGAGUGAAGAAGGUCUUCGGAUCGUAAAACUCUAUUAUUAGGGAAGAACAAAUGUGUAAGUAACUAUGCACGUCUUGACGGUACCUAAUCAGAAAGCCACGGCUAACUACGUG
rnacentral:rRNA from 1 species